UACGUAGGGGGCAAGCGUUGUCCGGAAUUAUUGGGCGUAAAGCGCGUGUAGGCGGCUCGGUAAGUCUGCUGUGAAAGUCCAGGGCUCAACCCUGGAAUGCCGGUGGAUACUGUCGAGCUAGAGUCCGGAAGAGGCGAGUGGAAUUCCUGGUGUAGCGGUGAAAUGCGCAGAUAUCAGGAGGAACACCGGUGGCGAAGGCGGGUCUCUGGGCCGAUACUGACGCUGAGACGCGAAAGCGUGGGGAGCGAACAGG
rnacentral:rRNA from 1 species